UACGGGGGGGCAAGCGUUGUUCGGAAUUACUGGGCGUAAAGGGCGCGUAGGUGGCCAACUAAGUCAGACGUGAAAUCCCUCGGCUUAACCGGGGAACUGCGUCUGAUACUGGAUGGCUUGAGUUUGGGAGAGGGACGCGGAAUUCCAGGUGUAGCGGUGAAAUGCGUAGAUAUCUGGAGGAACACCGGUGGCGAAGGCGGCGUCCUGGACCAAUACUGACACUGAAACGCGAAAGCCAGGGGAGCAAACGGG
rnacentral:rRNA from 1 species